GAUGAACGCUGGCGGCGUGCCUAAUACAUGCAAGUCGAGCGAAGCGGGGACGGGUGAGUAACACGUGGAUAACCUCCUAUAAGACUGGGAUAACUUCGGGAAACCGGAUCUACAACGGAUACUUAUAGAUUGCUCCUCGCUGCAUUAGCUAGUUGGUAAGGUAACGGCUUACCAAGGCAACGAUGCAUAGCCGACCUUAGCGGGUGAGCGGACACACUUGAACUGAGACACGGUCCAGACGCCGACGGUAGGCAGCAGUAGGGAAUCUUCCGCAAUGGGCGAAAGCCUGACGGAGCAACGCCGCGGGAGUGAUGAAGGUCUUCGGAUCGUAAAACUCUGUUAUUAGGGAAGCGGUACCUAAUCAGAAAGCCACGGCUAACUACGUGCCAGCAGCCGCGGUAAUUC
rnacentral:rRNA from 1 species